rnacentral:rRNA from 1 species
GUGAGUAAUAUAUCGGAACGUACCUUGUAGUGGGGGAUAGCUCGGCGAAAGCCGGAUUAAUACCGCAUACGCUCUGAGGAGGAAAGCGGGGGACCUUCGGGCCUCGCGCUACAAGAGCGGCCGAUAUCAGAUUAGCUAGUUGGUGGGGUAAAAGCUUACCAAGGCGACGAUCUGUAGCUGGUCUGAGAGGACGACCAGCCACACUGGGACUGAGACACGGCCCAGACUCCUACGGGAGGCAGCAGUGGGGAAUUUUGGACAAUGGGCGAAAGCCUGAUCCAGCAAUGCCGCGUGUGUGAAGAAGGCCUUCGGGUUGUAAAGCACUUUUGUCCGGAAAGAAAUCCUCUGGGUUAAUACCUCGGGGGGAUGACGGUACCGGAAGAAUAAGCACCGGCUAACUACGUGCCAGCAGCCGCGGUAAUACGUAGGGUGCGAGCGUUAAUCGGAAUUACUGGGCGUAAAGCGUGCGCAGGCGGUUUUGUAAGACGGAUGUGAAAUCCCCGGGCUCAACCUGGGAACUGCAUUCGUGACUGCAAGGCUAGAGUAUGGCAGAGGGGGGUAGAAUUCCACGUGUAGCAGUGAAAUGCGUAGAGAUGUGGAGGAAUACCGAUGGCGAAGGCAGCCCCCUGGGCCAAUACUGACGCUCAUGCACGAAAGCGUGGGGGAGCAAACAGGAUUAGAUACCCUGUAGUCCACGCCCUAAACGAUGUCAACUAG